CUUCGAGCAUUGAAACGCGCUGCUUAUUCCCUGACACAGGGACGUAGCGACAUGAAAUAACAGUACUGGGCAUCCAUGUCUUGUAAUUGGAAUGAGUAUCAAUUGGAGGGCAAGUCUGGUGCCAGCAGCCGCGGCAAUUGUAGCUCCAAUAG
rnacentral:ncRNA from 1 species